ensembl:lncRNA
GUCAGCCAGGAAGUAGCAGAAUUCGGGCUUCGUUUUCUCAGGGCAGAAACCAACGGGCGACGUCACGGUAGCUACGUCCAUCCUUAUAUACAGUCUAUGUCUUUCUGUUUCUAGGUGGAAGCUGAAUUAGUGAUGAUGACUCCUGCUUCUGUCAUCUCUAAGCUCCUCACACAUCUUUACCUGCACAUGAGGAAAAUCACUCCUGUAGAAUGCAGAUGUUCAGAGGGAGAUGAUGCCACAUCUGGUCCAGCUGAUGGAAGGUCUUGAAGUUCUCUGACUGGCCUCGACUGAAGAUGGUCGUCUCACUGGAUUUAAGGUUCAGAUGCUCAGUAACAAACUCCACCAAUGAGCCAACAGGGAAGCUUUAGGUUUAUUAAAUGUUGCUAUGAAGGUUUCGCUGUUUUUCUUUGUGAAAGCAAUGUGCUCCAACUGAAACUUGAAUUAGAACUUAGAAGUAAAUCUUUCCAUCUGAAAGGAUUUAGUUGCAUUAAUAACCUCA